GGUGGGAUGAUGGUCAAGUCAGCAUGGCCUUUAUAUCCUGGGCUACACACACGCUACAAUGGCCAACACAAUAGGUUGCUAAGCCGCGAGGUGGCGCCAAUCCAUAAAGUUGGUCUCAGUUCAGAUUGUAGGCUGCAACCCGCCUGCAUGAAGAUGGAGUUGCUAGUAACCGCAGGUCAGCUAUACUGCGGUGAAUACCGGUUCCCGGGGCUU
rnacentral:rRNA from 1 species